CCUACGGGAGGCAGCAGUGAGGAAUCUUGCGCAAUGGGGGAAACCCUGACGCAGCAAUACCGCGUGUGGGAUGAAGGCCUUCGGGUCGUAAACCACUUUUCUCGGGGACGAUAAUGACGGUACCCGAGGAAUAAGCCACGGCUAACUUCGUG
rnacentral:rRNA from 1 species